CUGACUGCUAUUGGAGUAGGACUAAGUCACGCUAGUCAAAGGUGUGGAAUGGAACACCUGGCGCACGGCUCAGUAGCACGUAAUGAAUCUACCCUAAGGACGAGAACAACCGCGGGAAACUGUGGCUAAUUCUCGAUAGGAAAUUUGGCCUGGAACGGUAUCUUUCCAAAAACCGGCUCGCCGUGAGACACGGGCCUUAGGAUGGCGUUGCGGCCGAUUAUGCUAGACGGCGGUGUAAAGGACCACCGUGGCUACGAUCGGUAUGGGCGAUGGAAGUCGGAGCCCAGAGUCGGCUACUGAGACAAGGAGCCGAGCCUUACGAGGCUUAGCGGUCGCGAAAACUCGCCAAUGCACGAAAGUGUGAGUGGGCUACUCCAAGUGUCAUUCUUACGGAUGACUGUCGCUCAGUUUUACAAGCUGAGAAAGGAAGGAGAGGGCAAGGCUGGUGCCAGCCGCCGCGGUAAAACCAGCUCUUCGAGUGGUCAGGACGAAUAUUGGGUCUAAAGCGUUCGUAGCGGGACAAGUAGGUUCCUGGUUAAAUCCGAUGUCACAAGCAUCGGGCUGCUGGGAAUACCGCUAGUCUUGAGAGCGGGAUAGGACAGGGGUAGUAUAUGGGCAGGGGUGAAAUCCAGUGAUCCAUAUGCGACCACCGAUGGCGAAGGCACCUGUCUGGAACGUAUCUAACCGUGAUGGACGAAAGCCAGGGGAGCGACCCGGAUUAGAUACCCGGUUAGUCCUGGCGUAAACGAUGCCGACUAGGUGUUGCAGCGGCCAAGAGCCACCGCAGUGCCACAGUGAAGACGUUAAGUCGGCCACCUGGGGAGUACGAUCGCAAGAUUGAAACUCAAAGGAAUUGACGGGGGCGCACCACCAGGAGUGAAGCCUG
rnacentral:rRNA from 1 species